rnacentral:rRNA from 1 species
GAUGAACGCUGGCGGCGUGCCUAAUACAUGCAAGUCGAGCGAACAGACGAGGAGCUUGCUCCUCUGACGUUAGCGGCGGACGGGUGAGUAACACGUGGAUAACCUACCUAUAAGACUGGGAUAACUUCGGGAAACCGGAGCUAAUACCGGAUAAUAUAUUGAACCGCAUGGUUCAAUAGUGAAAGACGGUUUUGCUGUCACUUAUAGAUGGAUCCGCGCCGCAUUAGCUAGUUGGUAAGGUAACGGCUUACCAAGGCAACGAUGCGUAGCCGACCUGAGAGGGUGAUCGACCACACGGGAAGUGAGAAAGGGUCCAGACUCCUACGGGAGGCAGCAGUAGGGAAUCUUACGCAAUGGGCGAGAGCUUGACGGAGCAACGCCGCGUGAGUGAUGAAGGUCUUCGGAUCGUAAAACUCUGUUAUUAGGGAAGAACAAAUGUGUAAGUAACUAUGCACGUAUUGACGGUACCUAAUCAGAAAGCCACGGCUAACUACGUG